CCCUUAGAUGUCCUGGGCCGCACGCGUGCUACACUGACGCCUACAGCGAGUACUUCCCAGCCCCGAGAGGUGGCUGGUAAUCAGCAAUAGGCGUCGUGAUGGGGAUAGAUCUUUGGAAUUAUGGAUCUUGAACGAGGAAUGCCUAGUAAGCGCAGGUCAUUAGCCUGCGCUGAUUAAGUCCCUGCCCUUUGUACACACCGCCCGUCGCUCCUACCGAUUUCGAGUGGUCCGGUGAAUCUUUCGGACUGCGCGCGGCCUCGUACCGUGUCGCGGAAAGUCAGGUAAACCUUAUCACUUAGAGGAAGGAGAAGUCGUAACA
rnacentral:rRNA from 1 species